rnacentral:tRNA from 1 species
GAGGAUCAGUGGUAGAUCAUCUGCUUUGCAUGCAGAAGGUCCCAGGUUCCAUCCCCAGCAGCUCCA